CACUCUCUCUCUAAAUAGCUGACUAUUGAGUUUAAAUAUAGAAAGGUUGACCUGUUUUAGACACACCCUUGAACUCUCUCUUCCCUCACUCCCUAGGGAGAGUUUUUGGUUUUUCAGCAUGGUUAUAGAGUUAUUUUAGGUCCAGAAAAUAUCUUUCACAUGAAGUCUAAUGUAGGGGCAGCCCCAGAUGCAGAAGUGAUCUUGUGACUCACCUGGACCAUAGAUUAACUUGCAAAGUGCCUGCUGUCAUCCUGUUUCCCCUUACUGCCUUCACUGGUUUACACACCUCUGCAUUCUUCAGGUUUAGCCUGGGAACAGUAGUACUGAGACCCGCUGGGAGCAGCUGUUCUGGUAGUUCUGGCCUUUCAGGAAGAAGGAACUGGUAGAGUUCAUGAGUCUUCUUGCUGAGGGUUGAAUAAGUGAGUAACUGAUUGUUACGAGACUGAGCCAGUACUGGGGCUAAAUUCACUAUUGCUGGAAUACCACGGUAGCUAAUUGUUGAACCCGUGUUAGCCGUUUCAGGGAAAGCCCCAAUGAUUCUGGCAAACAUGGGGCUAGCUGCUGGGGCAUUGAGGUUGAACUCUAAGACAGACACAUCUUUCCCCAGCCUCUUCCCAGUAAAGGAGAAAAUUCCGCUGGCUGUUGACAACAUGAAGACUAUUAGGCUCAUCCCUUAUUUUGUGUGAACUAGGAGUGAAUUCGGAGACUGAUCUUAAUUCCUUUCUGUUAUGCACUAAAACUAGCUCUGUAAAUAAUAUUAAUGCUAGAGUUUCAUAUCUGGAUUUAGGGAAUUUUACAGCUGAAGCCUUAACAUUUCAUGGGAUGGCAGCCCUGGAUUUGUUGUUGCAGUAGUAGUAAACCUACCACUACUGUUCUCACACUAAUGCACUUACAUUUUUUUCUGUCCAAGAGAUGUCACAACAUUGCAUCAUAGGAUUUUUCCUCCAGAGACCUAGCAAGGAAUCCAAUCAAACUCAUCCUCUCUCACUUGCUUUUUCUUAGCCAGUCUUUACUUAGCCACUCUGGUUCCUGCUUUAAGGCCCAUUCAACUCCCCCUGAAGUCAGUGAAAAGACACCCAUCAUUCUAAUAGCCAAGCAUGUUCUUGAAACAAGCUUAGAGGCUAAUAAUUGUUUUUACACUGAUUUUUUCCAAGUUGUUUUGGGGAUUUUUAAAUUAGAAUUUCUUGAUAAAGAAAAAUACUUCUCUGUAAAAAUGACUUUGUUGUUUCCUAGCUGCUGGGUUGCUAACUUGAAUAAAAAGGUUUGUUUGGUGGGUUUGUUUUGUUUUUAAACCCUUCUUGAAAGUCUCACUUGCUUAUUUUUACUCAAGAGACUGGAACUUCUUCAGAAGGAAAGAUUGCACAAGAGGUUAAGAUAAACACCACAAACUAUUCAAGGAACAAAGGGUCAGGAAAAGACAAUACAGAGAACGGAAUCUUUUCCCCUCUUGUUAGCAACAUAGCAGGAAUUCUUUUGCCUCAGUGUUUUAAAAGAGCACUGCUGAAGUAUCAGAAAAAGAAGUCAUUCUCCUAUCAGAGCUGACAAUACGUAACCAAGAAAUUUGAUGGCUGAAGACUGGAAGUUCCAGGAACACAUGACCCAACCUAUAGUUCUUGAGAACAUGGUGAAACAAGAUAAAAUCUUUAGCAGAUAAACCUCCUUGGAAUCAGAGAGAGAUCUUGCUGCUACAUCAACAAGUAGACUUCUGGGCCUGAGCUGAGCCAUGCUGAAGUCAAAAGGGCUCCGUCGAGGCCGAGGUCACUGAGCCAAGGGGCUGCUCAGACAGAGGCAGUCAUUGGGACCUAGGAGAGCAAAGUACACAACAGAAAAUAAUGCCAGGAAAACCAUAGAAAAAAUGCAGUUAUAAUCCCUGGGAAAAAGCUGAAAUUAUGGCUCUUGUAAAAUAAUAGCUAGCUCUUCUCAUCUGUACAUCUCCAAGCACUUUACAAAGGAGUUCACCAGCUGCACAGCACAAGCAGUGAGCGGGCUGAAUGACUUCACAGCUAAAAAGCCUGUUUAGUCUGAAUUAACACAGAUAAAUGCACAACAUUUUGACUGCAAUAACAUUUUGCUGAGUAUGCAGCAAUAAGACUAUUCCAGACUCUUGACUUCAUACUGCAUGCUUUGUUACUUGAAAUACAAUACAAGCACCAGGAUGAAGCUACACCCACUUUAUGACUGUAGUUUUGAUUAAGCAGUUUUUGUGUUUGGGCAGCAUCCGAAAUAUUAGGUCUGGGGUUUUCAGAAGAACGUAAAUUCAAUGGCAGUUGGGCAGCUAAUACCCUUAGGCUCCUUUGAAAACUCCAGCCUACGUUACAUCCUCUUCUUUCAUCCCCCAAAACAAGUCUAGCAAAAUGCGUUGCUUGGUUGCCUUUAAUAAAGCUUUUUUUCAUGGGCAUUUUCACCAACCGUGUGGCACAGUAAAAAGUGAAGUGGGUGAAAGA